UUUGUUUUAACUAAUCGUGUAACCUGCAUUUUUUAAAAUACACCAUUUAGUUGAGUUUGUAUUUUAAGUUGCCAGAACCAAGCAAGUGUUAGGAUUAGCAUUUCUCUUGUUCUUCUCCACUUAUAGAUAUAUUUAAUGAAAUAAACUCUUUGACAUAGGUUAAUCACAUAAUUUCCUUCAUCAUCAUUUUUGAACAAUUAAAGAGGAGAAGAUUAGAAAAGAAAUACAAAUAACUGGCAACUUUUCUUUUACCAAUGGAUGAUCUGAUCUCAAAUAAUG
rnacentral:misc_RNA from 1 species